rnacentral:rRNA from 1 species
GACGGAAGGUGCAAGCGUUGCUCGGAAUCACUGGGCGUAAAGGGUGCGUAGGCGGCCGCGCAAGUCUGGCGUGAAAGCCCCGGGCUCAGCCCGGGAAGGGCGCUCGAAACGGCGCGGCUCGAGUGCCGGAGGGGAGAGUGGAAUUCCUGGUGUAGCGGUGAAAUGCGCAGAUAUCAGGAGGAACACCAAUUGCGAAGGCAGCUCGCUGGGACGUUACUGACGCUGAGACGCGAAAGCGUGGGGAGCAAACAGG